rnacentral:rRNA from 1 species
AACGCUGGCGGCAGGCUUAACACAUGCAGGUCGAACGCCCCGCAAGGGGAGUGGCAGACGGGUGAGUAACGCGUGGGAACAUACCCUUUCCUGCGGAAUAGCUCCGGGAAACUGGAAUUAAUACCGCAUACGCCCUACGGGGAAAAGAUUUAUCGGGGAAGGAAAAGCCCGCGUUGGAUUCCCUCAAUAAUCCGUCUGGGUAAAGGCCUACCAAGGCGACGAUCCAUAGCUGGUCUGAGAAUCAGCCACAUUGGGACUGAGACACGGCCCAAACUCCUACGGGAGGCAGCAGUGGGGAAUAUUGGACAAUGGGCGCAAGCCUGAUCCAGCCAUGCCGCGUGAGUGAUGAAGGCCUUAGGGUUGUAAAGCUCUUUCACAGAAGAAGCCCCGGCUAACUUCGUGCCAGCAGCCGCGGUAAUACGAAGGGGGCUAGCGUUGUUCGGAAUUACUGGGCGUAAAGCGCACGUAGGCGGAUAUUUAAGUCAGGGGUGAAAUCCCGCAGCUCAACUGCGGAACUGCCUUUGAUACUGGGUAUCUUGAGUAUGGAAGAGGUGGAAUUCCGAGUGGGACUAGAGGUGAAAUUCGUAGAUAUUCGGAGGAACACCAGUGGCGAAGGCGGCUUACUGGUCCAUUACUGACGCUGAGGUGCGAAAGCGUGGGGAGCAAAUUAGAUACCCUGGUAGUCCACGCNNCCGAACGAUGUUAGCCGUCGGGCAGUAUACUGUUCGCGCAGCUAACGUCGGUAGUCGGAGAAGAAAAACAUUCCGCCUGACGGUCGCAAGAUUAAAACUCAAAGGAAUUGAGGGGGCCCAAGGCGCGCAUUUAAUUCGAAGCAACGCGCAGAACCUUACCAGCUCUGACAAGANNAAGNCGAGCAUGACAUUCGGGGUAUGCGCAUUGGAGACGAUGUCCUUCAGUUAGGCUGGCCCCAGAACAGUGCUGCAUGGCUGUCGUCAGCUCGUGUCGUGAG